AUAUAGCCGCCCCUGUGACGCCAGCGCGUUGCACUCACGUCCCGGCCCCACCCACGGCGUCGUGCCCUGAGCGCCCAAGCGCCGCCUCUUCCAAUUGGUUCGGGGGCGGAGAUGCGGCGCGGCGCUUGCGCAGGAGCUCAGUGCUGCAGGAGGGCGUCCUCCUGGCUCUCGGAGAGCUGGAAGGGGGAGGGAAAGCUUAGUCAGUCUAGGCGCCUGCGCAGUGCGGAAGGAAGGUGUCUGGGCUGCGCAGAAAAUUGGCGGAGGUUUCGGGCGCGCCUGCGCACUAUGUUCUCUGGCACGUUCCAUCCUCUUGACUCUGUUGCGGCGUUACCUGCUCCAGGAAGGAUUGUUCCUGGGGGUUAUUGGCACUCCUUAGAGGGGAUUUAGCUGCCGAGCGUCCCGCACAUGACAGAUGCCCCCUAUCUCAUACCCACCCACCUACCCACCGGGUCACACACUUACUCCCACUUUCUUUGCAGAUUUACGGCGGCACCUUUAUUUAAUCAACCUAGAAUAAUAUAACCCAAACCCUAACUUUGGCAUUUAGAUUAAUUUAUCAUUUAGAUGAAUCUAAUCUAAAAAUGGAUUAGUCUGUAAAUUUACCAUUUAGAUAAUCUAAGGAAAGGACACCUAGCUCAUUAGCACGAGGCCAAGAGAGAGUAAUGCUGGUUCUGGGGGACCGAGAAGAAUUCAGGCGCCUGAAGGAUGUCCUUUGUGUCUUACAAAUCGUGUGUGGUGGAGCCUUCUCGGAGCGUAGAUGAAUAUUUCCUUCAAAUCAGUCAACCCUUCUUGUUCUUUGCAUUUAUUAAUGGAAACGCUCUCCGCUGCAGGGGUGAAAAGAGUGGUUUUAGACGCCACAGGCCUCCAGGGGCCAGGCAGGAAGCGGGGACAUGGGCGUCGAUGACAUGGGCGUCCCAGUCUCACAUCUCCCCAGUCUGCGAAGCUGAGUGCCCUCCUGCCCUCCACCUGGGAGCCUCGGCACUCACAGACCUGGCUCUGCCUGAAAGGGGUUUGGGGCGACAGUGGCUGCAUAGGUGGCAUGCACUCUAUUUCUACUGGAUGGCGCUGCUCUAGACGAUUGUGGACUGAAGAAUAUCGCCGACCUCAUCCUUUGCCCCAAACAGCUUAGUGAUCGUCCCCUCUUACCUGCAGCCGGGACUCUUCUUGAGCGGAAUUCGGGGCAGGAAGAUUUUUUCAUUUUGUUGAGCACCCAUGGCUUGCUGGGUCCUGUGCGAGGUAUAUCCCACCCCGGUCCCACGGAAUCCUGACGAAGCAGGGUCCUCAGCCCAUCUGCAGGUGAGGCGGCCGGCUUGGACCAGGACUUGGGCUGGGGUGGCGGUGGAUCUCUUCCUGCCGGGCAGCAUGGCCACCCGGGAGCGACCAGAUUCCCCCGAGGCACCUCUGGGGUGAUUCUGCCCUUGUAAGGGGUCAGCCAUUUCCUUGAUGGGGCCAGCACCAUGUGUGUGUUCCUUUCUUCCUUCCCAAAUGCUCCCGGAGAACUUCCUGCGUAGCCGCCCAGGCCCAGGGGAACCAUCUCAGUCCCUACAGGAGCCUAUAGGGGAGCCCUACAGGUGUGAGUGGGGUUUUGAGUCAAGGGACCAUUUGAGAUGCUCUCCUGCUAGUUGUCUGCUCUGUGUCCUCAGGAAGCUUGGAUAAUCUCUCCGAGCCUGUUUCCUUUCCUGUAUAUAUCAGGAGAAAACCCACUGGAUUUACUAUCCAUAACCCCCCAGCCUCCCUUCUAAGGAGAGCUGCUUCAGGUGCCCCUAGGGGCCUCAGCUGGCUUGGGGAAGAGCCUGGGUAGAACUAAGAUGCUGGAGGAGGCUGGAGACCCUGGGGGAGACCUGAGCUGAGAAGGAGGCACAGCCAGUGAGGCUGGGGGCGAUGAAACUCACCGCAGUUGAUGGGGACAGAAGCAGCCAGAGGAGCUGGGAGGAACGACACAUCUCCGGGGUCUUAGGGAGGGAAACCUUGUGCGCUGUGUUCUAUCUGCCCGUCCUCACUGCUCCUGCGAAUCUUUAGUAAAUUAUUGAUAGCUCACUGGUGCUUUUGGGGAGAGGGUUUUCUUUCAAGGACACAGUGAGGUUUGGAGUUCUGUAUCAAGACUGGCCAGGGCUGCUCAUGGGGGCCCUGUGACACCUUGGCUAGUUUAUAGGGAGUCCAUGGCUGGUCGCAGACCUCUUAUUUAUUAUCUGCUUCCAAGUGCCGGGCUCGGCGUUAAGCAAUUUCCAUUUGCCUCUUUGAAUCCUCCCAAUACCCCACCAAGUGGGAAUAGCUAUUCUCUUUUACAGACAAGGAUACAGAAGCUUAGAGUGGUGGAAUUAUUUUUGCAAGAUCAUAGCUAGUAAGUUGCAGGGCUGGAUUCAAGCCCAGAGCCUGUGCUCGUAACCAUGAAGAGGCACCCGCCCUGGAGGGCUGUCGGUGCCUGGCCCGUGUGCCCCACAGCACCCCGGAGUCACUGCUGGCUUCUCUCCCCACAGCUAGUAGGGGCACUCAGGGCAGGGUGGCCUGGCGUGGCCCUUGAGUGAACCCACUUCCUUCAGAUCUUUUGGUAUCUCUAUGUUUUAUUUAUUUUAUAUUAUUUUAUUUUUAUUUUAUUUUAAAAUAACGAUAUUUCUCUCCAUUGUAAAAUAAUAUCUUCUUAUUGCAUAAAAAUUUAAAAAGUAUGAAAAUGACCAAAAAAAAUCACUGGUUAAAUCAGUUACCACCUAGGGAUGACCAAAACCUGUUUUGGCGUGCUUCCCUCUGUUUAUGUGGAUAUUUAUGAAGCUGUCGACUGCUUUGUGCCAUGUUAGCCUGUACGCAGCCUUCAGCACUGCUUCGAGUUCUCCCCAAAGAGUCCGUUCUUACUAAAUACGCGUGAGUGAUGUAAGCUUUACCCAGUGACCCCAGAAGGAGGUGGGGGAGGGCAUUUACAACUCUCUCCCCCAACACAGCUCAAAAGUCUUAGCAGGCUCAGACCCCUCCUGACCUCUCAGAUGGCAUCUCUUUCUCCUCUGGGAUCUGCGUUUCCCGGCUCCUUCAUCUCCUCUUUUGAUCCUAUCCUAGUUUCAGACCUUAAACUCUUCUCCCCUCAGUUUUGCAGUUCAGCUCUGCCCCAUGCCUCCCCAAAAGUGUACAGCCAAGAUCUAAUAUCAAACCUGAAGUGAACGAUC